GGUUGUGUGUGGUCUCUGUGCUGUUUGUUAUCAUGAUAUCAUCAUUGGUAACUACAACUAGUCUACAACCAAGAGAAGUGGCAGCUCCGGGCAGUGACAUCACCCUUAGCUGCUCUUUGUCUAAAAACCUGAACCUCAACAACCUGGUCGUCAACUGGCAGCGUGGGGAGUCAGAGGUGGUCCACAGCUAUUACCAUGGGAGAGAUCAGCUGGAAAGACAGAGUGUUGUUUACAAGGGACGAACUCAUCUGUUUGAAGACCAGCUCACUGUGGGAAAUGCCUCACUUAGACUGAGUGGUGUGCAGCUGAGUGACCAGGGAUCAUACACCUGUGAUGUGACAGAUGAACAGGGAAGCACCAAGGAAAGCUACAACUUUUAGUGGCAGGAGCCCCAGCUCUCUGUACAGUCAUCCUGUGAGAGCUUCAUCAUCGCCCUCCACUCCUCUCAGGGUUUCAUCCAGCCUGAUGUGUGGUGGACGGACUCCAUUGGAGGAGACAUCUCCAAUCAGAGCCACAGCCGUAUCGGCCUGGACAGCAGGGGGGCGCUAUGAUGUCCACAGCUCCAUGGAGGUCAAUCCAAACAGUACUCACCAUCAUUGUUGAAAUGAGACUAGAGGUUCUCAAUCAAACCUUCACCUGCUCACUCACCCUCCACCCACUUCCAGAAUGCUGUGAGGUGCCUCUUGCAACCAGGGGCAGACCGGCUUUGGUGUUAUUAGGGAUAGUUCUCUUAGCAGCAUUAGCAAUGCCACUCAUUUUGUACUUCAGACACAAGCCUGAAGCACACCGACACCAGAUGGUCCCACAUGACGAUACAACAGGACAAGACGAGGCUCAUGAAACAGAAAUUUGAUCAAAGUCUAAGCUUACAGGACUGUGUUUCAAUGUCACAAAUAUAGGUGUGUGUGUGUGUGUGUGUGUUGUUGCCUUAUGAAAUAUUUCCAAUCCCUCUUGGUAAAGUAUUAUAGAGUACCGCUGGAAGGAGACUUUGCUACUCUCUGCAACCCUACGUAAUCCAGCCUACUUAGAUAUUUUUGGGAUGCAAAGCUGUCAAGGCAAAGGGUGGCUACUUUGAAGAAUCUAAAAUAUAUAAAUAUAUUUUGAUUUCUUUAACACUUU